rnacentral:rRNA from 1 species
CGUGACCUACGGGGCGCAGCAGUAGGGAAUAUUGCUCAAUGGGGGAACCCUGAAGCAGCAACGCCGCGUGGAGGAUGAAGGUUUUAGGAUUGUAAACUCCUUUUGUGAGAGAGGAUAAUGACGGUAUCUCACGAAUAAGCACCGGCUAACUCCGUGCCAGCAGCCGCGGUAAUACGGAGGGUGCAAGCGUUACUCGGAAUCACUGGGCGUAAAGAGUGCGCAGGCGGGCUUGUAAGUCAGAUGUGAAAUCCUGUAGCUUAACUACAGAACUGCCUUUGAAAAUAUGAGUCUAGAGUGGGGGAGAG